CCUACGGGAGGCAGCAGUGGGGGAUAUUGCACAAUGGGGGAAACCCUGAUGCAGCGACGCCGCGUGGGUGAAGAAGUAUUUCGGUAUGUAAAGCCCUAUCAGCAGGGAAGAAAGAAGACGGUACCUGACUAAGAAGCCCCGGCUAACUACGUGCCAGCAGCCGCGGUAAUACGUAGGGGGCGAGCGUUAUCCGGAUUCACUGGGUGUAAAGGGAGCGUAGACGGCCGUGCAAGCCAGGAGUGAAAGCCCGGGGCCCAACCCCGGGACUGCUCUUGGAACUGUGCGGCUGGAGUGCGGGAGGGGUAGGCGGAAUUCCUGGUGUAGCGGUGAAAUGCGUAGAUAUCAGGAGGAACACCGGCGGCGAAGGCGGCCUCCUGGACCGCGACUGACGUUGAGGCUCGAAAGCGUGGGGAGCGAACAGGAUUAGAUACCCGAGUAGUC
rnacentral:rRNA from 1 species